UGGGGAAUCUUCGCAAUGGGCGAAAGCCUGACGCAGCCAUGCCGCGUGGAUGAUGAAGGUCUUAGGAUUGUAAAAUCCUUUCACCGGUGAAGAUAAUGACUGUAGCCGGAGAAGAAGCCCCGGCUAACUUCGUGCCAGCAGCCGCGGUAAUACGAAGGGGGCUAGCGUUGCUCGGAAUUACUGGGCGUAAAGGGAGCGUAGGCGGGACAUUUAAGUCAGGGGUGAAAUCCCGAGGCUCAACCUCGGAACUGCCUUUGAUACUGGGUGUCUUGAGUGUGAGAGAGGUGAGUGGAACUCCGAGUGUAGAGGUGAAAUUCGUAGAUAUUCGGAAGAACACCAGUGGCGAAGGCGACUCACUGGCUCAUUACUGACGCUGAGGCUCGAAAGCGUGGGGGGCAAACAGGAUUAGAUACCCUGGUAGUCCACGCCGUAAACGAUGAUUGCUAGUUGUCGGGGAGCUUGCUCUUCGGUGACGCAGCUAACGCAUUAAGCAAUCCGCCUGGGGAGUACGGUCGCAAGAUUAAAAACUCAAAUGAAUUGACGGGGUCAUAGCUGUUUCCU
rnacentral:rRNA from 1 species